UACGAAGGGUGCAAGCGUUACUCGGAAUUACUGGGCGUAAAGCGUGCGUAGGUGGUCUGUUAAGUCUGAUGUGAAAGCCCUGGGCUCAACCUGGGAAUUGCAUUGGAUACUGGCAGGCUAGAGUGCGGUAGAGGGUAGUGGAAUUCCCGGUGUAGCAGUGAAAUGCGUAGAGAUCGGGAGGAACACCAGUGGCGAAGGCGGCGCUCUGGGCUGGCACUGACGCUGAGGAGCGAAAGCGUGGGGAGCGAACAGG
rnacentral:rRNA from 1 species